rnacentral:rRNA from 1 species
AAAUUGAAGAGUUUGAUCAUGGCUCAGAUUGAACGCUGGCAGCAGGCCUAACACAUGCAAGUCGAGCGGUAGCACAGAGAGCUUGCUCGGGUGACGAGCGGCGGACGGUGAGUCUGGGAAACUGCCUGAUGGAGGGGGAUAACU